UAGAUGCGAGAGUAGAGCAUAUCAAUAAGCGGAGGAAAAGAAACUAACAAGGAUUCCCUUAGUAACGGCGAGUGAAGCGGGAAGAGCUCAAAUUUGAAAUCUUCAAGGUUCUACCUUGACGAAUUGUAGUUUAUAGAAGUGUUUUCUGUUAGUGGAGUGGCAAAAGUUCUUCGGAAUAGGACAUCAUAGAGGGUGAGAAUCCCGUAUUUGGUCAUUCCUCCUAGCGUUGUGAUACACUUUCAACGAGUCGGAUUGUUUGGGAAUGCAGUCCAAAAUGGGUGGUAAAUAUUCAUCUAAAGCUAAAUAUUGGCGAGAGACCGAUAGCGAACAAGUACCGUGAGGGAAAGAUGAAAAGAACUUUGAAAAGAGAGUUAAACAGUACGUGAAAUUGUCAAAAGGGAAGCGUUUGACACCAGUGUUGUUUUUCCGAAAAUCAAUUACGAAUGUUUUGCUUUUGAGGAGUUAUGACUUCAUCGGCUUGCUCCUUUCUUUAUGAAACUUUCUUAAUGCACUUUUCGGCUAACAAGUCAACAUCAAUUUCUUUUGUUGUAAAAGGGUAUGAGGAAGGUGGCUUUCUUUUCGGAGAAAGUGUUUAUAGCCUUGUACCUCUGCAAUCGGAGAGAUUGAGGUCUGCAGCGUAGAUCCUUCGGGGUUAGAUACGUUUGUGCUAAGUUAUAGCUUUUCAUAGACAACUUGUUGACUAUGUUUAGUCUUGUAGCUUACUCGCUGACGCUAUUUUACCUACGCUUAGGAUGUUGACACACGCGCGUGCUC
rnacentral:rRNA from 1 species